GUUGAAAGUCUUUGGUCCUCCAGCUCUGGACAUCAUCUCUCUCAAUGUCAACUUUUCAUACUCUUUAUAGAUUGUGGGAAACCAGUAAUUCUGUUUCUCGGUGAUGGCAGCAAGGAAGUCUUUAUUUGGCCUAUAUGGUCUAUCGUAUAAAGCUGACGCCAGUAAUGGUGCAUUGCUAAAUUUGGGAGCAAUGGAUUGCUCUUUUUUCCC